CCUCGGGAGGCAGCAGUGGGGAAUAUUGCGCCAUGGGCGAAAGCCUGACGCAGCGACGCCGCGUGGGUGAUGAAGGCCUUCGGGUUGUAAAGCCCUGUCGGGUGGAACGAACGAUCUGGCGGCGAAUAACCGCCGGGUGUGACGGUACCACCGAAGGAAGCCCCGGCUAACUACGUGCCAGCAGCCGCGGUAAGACGUAGGGGGCGAGCGUUGUUCGGAUUUACUGGGCGUAAAGCGCGAGUAGGCGGCUGAAAGCCCUCGGCUUAACCGAGGUCCCGCAUCCGAUACGGUAUGGCUCGAGUCUAGGAGAGGAAAGCGGAAUUCCCAGUGUAGCGGUGAAAUGCGUAGAUAUUGGGAGGAACACCGGUGGCGAAGGCGGCUUUCCGGACUAGUACUGACGCUGAGGCGCGAAAGCUAGGGGAGCGAACGGGAUUAGAUACCCGAGUAGUC
rnacentral:rRNA from 1 species